UUACCUCCUAGGUGGAGUUGCAACAACAGGGCAUUCUUCAGUCUGUUUGUUUGCUGACCUUUGUCAGGGAUACUUUCAGCUAGAGAGAGCAAAGCAUAUUCAUCUGGAAAAUGCAAAGCAUAGCCAUUGUCACAUCUUGUUGUUGCCAUUGUUGUCCAUAGCUUGGCUCUGGAACCAUUACAUGAUGUCUCUGGACUCUCGUAUUGGAUGUUCCACUUCUAAUGAUGAAGAGAAUGACACACACUCCAUAUAUCUACCUAGGAAAUGGAUUAUCUGAAAAAAUAACCUACUCCAGAACUCAAGAGUUGAACCCGAGGAAGAAAUGAUGUCAAAGAAGAUGAUGAUGAAGGGAUCUAUAUUCAUAUGAGAGUUGCUGGAAGGCCGCCAGCAAAAAGCAUCCAAAUCAAGGGACUUAUGAGGUUGUUGUUAAUGUUGUGAUUAGACGGAAUGUUAUGCUUCCUUGUCCCGUUGCUAAGGUGUUUUUUAGUUAAAACAUAUGGUGUUUCUAAUGACUUAAAACUAUUGUAAAUAUGAACUAAACCAAAUUACUCUCAAACACGAGAUCUAGA